UACAGAGGGUGCGAGCGUUAAUCGGAAUUACUGGGCGUAAAGCGCACGUAGGUGGCGACGUAAGUCGGGUGUGAAAGCCCCGGGCUCAACCUGGGAAUUGCAUUCGAGACUGCAUUGCUGGAGUACGGAAGAGGAAGGCGGAAUUCCCGGUGUAGCGGUGAAAUGCGUAGAUAUCGGGAGGAACAUCAGUGGCGAAGGCGGCCUUCUGGUCCGGUACUGACACUCAAGUGCGAAAGCGUGGGGAGCAAACAGG
rnacentral:rRNA from 1 species